AAGAAGUUACACAAAACUUGCACAGGCAUGUGAGGUCCCAUUAAACACCCUGAACAAGCAGACAGCUUAAUGCUCUUUGAGUUUCUUUUACAGAUGUGACACAUUGGCUGUCAGGAGACUCAUAGCAUUGGAUGAUUCCUGACCUGUGUUUAGUAAGCUGAAAAAUGAGGGAAAGGCCCAUUAUCAAGAACACUAAGAAUCUAUACACGUCAGAAGUCAGGGAUUAUUUAUAACCCCUUUUCCCUUUUUUCGUUUUUAGAUAAAGAAAUGAGCCACAAUGACACAACAGGAUGGAAUUUAACCCAGCUGUUUGUCUCCCCCAGAUGAGCAAUACUGGAGAAAUAUACUUGGAAAGCCACAUGACAAUAAAUACCAUCCUAUCUUCCACAAAAGUUGACAAGCUUUUGCAUAUUACUUUCCUGUCCUAGUUCUGACAUGAUGUUUCACGAUGUUUCUCCAUGGAACUUUUAUAGGUUGAAGAGAGAAUCUGGAGCAAAGUCUGGGCACCAAGGAGUUUGGUGACUCAAAUGCGACUGCCAGGGACUUUUGACUCAGCACUCAGUCAAUGCACAGAUGAAAGUGGCAACAGGAAGAAGAAAAGAGGCGUUCUGUGAAUACCCCUUUGGAGACUCAUAACCAGUUUUACUCAAGGCUUGGAGUAAAGGACUUGAGCACAUCACAUAUGAAGUUCUACACACUGAAACCAGGGUGAUAGACUGGCUACCAUAUCAGAUUAGGACCAAGGAGAUGCAGAUGCAUGACCUUUAUUGGGUGACCUGGGAUGCCUGCAAACCUGGAAGAGACGUGAAAUGAAUCCUUGCCAACAUAAUCAGCUACAUGUAGUUCUUCUUGUAGAUUAUACAAAUACGUUUGCAAUAAGCCAAGGCAGCUCAAAGUUACAUCACCUCUCAGUGGGCCAAGUGGUAAGUAGAGCAUGCAGAACACUUCUUGGAUAGUGAGAAAUUACUAUGGUCCCAUUUUUUAUGGUAUUAGAACUACCUUUCAGAGGAAAGUAUUAUUGCAAAAAUUGUGACAACUAUCAAGUAUAGAUCAACACUGCAUGUGUUUACUGAGAGGUUCCAUGUGUGAGGUCUCCAAAGACUUUGCUGGAUGAAAACUUGCAUUUACAAUAACAAUAUUUUAGGGUUUUAUAUUAAUAGCUGUGGGCAGUUUUGUUUUUAAGAGCUUAAGAAUGAGAGAAGAGUUUUCUAAAUCAGACCAAAGGCCCAUGUAGUUUAGCAUCCUGUUUCCUACGGUGGCCAAUAAGAUUCCAAUGGAAACUCAAAAGCAGGGCAUGAGUGCAAUAACUUUCUUCAACUCUUGUUCUUCAACAACUGGCAUAACACUGGAGGUGCAGGACAUAGGAGGCAGCCUUAUGCCAGGUCAGAUCGUGGGUCCACCUGGUGCAGUACAGUUCCUUCUGACACGCAGCAGUUUUUCAUGGCCUCAGGCAGAGAUCUUGUCCAGCACCUACUGCCUGGUCCUUUAUGAACUGAAAAUGUCAAGGGUUCAGCCUGGAAGGCACAUUUUCUGCCACUGAGCAACAACAACUUGUGGAGCCAUGAGAGUGAGACUUGACUUCCAUUCUUGUAAGGAAAAUCCUAGAGAGAGCUCUGGCCUGAAAAGUUUUCUUGUCUCUUAGUAAACAUUCCCUGAAUAAUCUGAAGUUUAUGCUAAACAACUGUUCUUUUUUCAGUGUCAAUAUGGCAGUUGAAAAUAUCAUAGUGGUAGGCCUCAUAUUGAAAACCAGAUACAACCGCUAAAACGUUACCACUAAAAAUACAGAGAAGAAAACUCAGCUGUAAAAGAAGCUAUUUCCCCUACCAAGAGUUCAAUAUAAACCAUCUGGGAAUGCUAAUAAGAAAGCCAAAACAUUGCUUUGAAAUGUAUAUACAAAAAAAUGUCCACUUGGAAAUUAAGACAAGUAGGUCAUACUACUGGGGGCUGGACUGUAAAUGACACAAAGUCAUAGGAAGCAUGGAAGACACAAAGUGCAUAGUGAGAAUGAACUUUUCUGUCUCUACACCAAUGCCCAUGUUAUGGGAAACAAACAACAUGAACUUGAGCUCACAGUACAUGAGGACAAUUAUGCUCUUACAGGAAUAACUGAAACUUGGUGGGGUGACUCACAUGACUGGAACUCUGCAACUGAUGAGAAAAAUAGAAAGAACAAAAAGGAAGGUGGAGUUGCACUGUACCUAAGAGAUACGUAUAUCUGCACAGAAAUACAAAAAAAGGAACUUAGUAGCCCCAUUGAAAGCAUCUGGCUUAAUUUAAAGGGAGCAAAAAAUAAGAAAGACAUAGUUACUGACAUCUAUUACUGACCUCCCAGUCAAAAAGAGGACAAGGAUGCAACCUUCAAAAAACAACUUGCCAGUAUUUCCAAGAAGUCAUCAUGGGGGACUUCAACUGCCCUGAUAUAUACUGGGAGACAAAUUCUGCCAAUCAUGGCUCCUCCCACAGAUUCCUGGCAUGUGUUCCUGGCAGCUUUCUCCAGCAGAAAGUAGAGGGAAGAUACAAGAGGAUUGGCUAUCCUCAAUUUAAUACUAACUAACAGGGAUGGCCGGAUGGACAGAAUAACAGCCAUGGGAAAUCUUUAGGGACAGUGACCAUGUGAUACUUGAAUUCUCAAUUAUAAAGGAAACAAAGGGUAACUGGAGCUACACAAGCAUCCUGGAUUUCAGGAAAUCCUACUUUAAUGAACUCAGAAAAAUGGUAAGCGCCGUGCCAUGGCAACACACCCUUAAGGGAAAAGGAGUCCAAGAGGGGUGGGAAAUCUUGAAAAAGAAACAUAGAAACUGAGUGAGUCAGAAGGGGCCUCCCAGGCCAUCUAAUCUGAUCCCCAGCUCCAGCCAGCUGCGCUCAUGACAUACUGUUUGAAGAAGUUUCUCUAACACAAUUAUGAACAAUUCCAUCAAGAAGAACAUGUGGAAGACAAGAGAAAGCCCACAUAGCUUCACAAACACUUAAGUGACAUCCUGAAAGAAAGGAAAAAAAAGAACGUAUACAGGAAGUGGAAGUGGGGCCAGGCCACGAAGGAAGAAUAUCAACAAAUAGCAAGGAGUUGCUGGGAUAGCAUCAGGAAGGCUAAAGCAGGAAAUGAACUGAGAAUAGAAAGGGAUGAUAAGAACAAGAAAGUCUUCUUCAGAUACAUCCAGAACAAAAGACAUAAGAAAGAGAAGGGUGUCCAGCUACUUAAA